rnacentral:rRNA from 1 species
UACAGGGGUGCAAACGUUGCUCGGAAUUAUUGGCGUAAAGCGCGCGUAGGCGGCUACUUAAGUCGGAUGUGAAGCCUUGGCUCAACUGAGGAAGUGCACCGAAACUGAGUGGCUAGAGUACGAAGAGGUCGCGGAAUUCCGGUGUAGAGGUGAAUUCGUAGAUAUCAGGAGGAACACCGGUGGCGAAGGCGAUCCUGGCCAGUACUGACGCUGAGGAGCGAAGCGUGGAGCAACAG